UGGGGAAUAUUGGACAAUGGGCGCAAGCCUGAUCCAGCCAUACCGCGUGGGUGAAGAAGGCCUUCGGGUUGUAAAGCCCUUUUGUUGGGAAAGAAAUCCAGCUGGUUAAUACCCGGUUGGGAUGACGGUACCCAAAGAAUAAGCACCGGCUAACUUCGUGCCAGCAGCCGCGGUAAUACGAAGGGUGCAAGCGUUACUCGGAAUUACUGGGCGUAAAGCGUGCGUAGGUGGUCGUUUAAGUCCGUUGUGAAAGCCCUGGGCUCAACCUGGGAACUGCAGUGGAUACUGGACGACUAGAGUGUGGUAGAGGGUAGCGGAAUUCCUGGUGUAGCAGUGAAAUGCGUAGAGAUCAGGAGGAACAUCCAUGGCGAAGGCAGCUACCUGGACCAACACUGACACUGAGGCACGAAGGCGUGGGGAGCAAACAGGAUUAGAUACCCUGGUAGUCCACGCCCUAAACGAUGCGAACUGGAUGUUGGGUGCAAUUUGGCACGCAGUAUCGAAGCUAACGCGUUAAGUUCGCCGCCUGGGGAGUACGGUCGCAAGACU
rnacentral:rRNA from 1 species